rnacentral:rRNA from 1 species
GAACGAACGCUGGCGGCAUGCCUAACACAUGCAAGUCGAACGAGACCUUCGGGUCUAGUGGCGCACGGGUGCGUAACGCGUGGGAACCUGCCCUUAGGUUCGGAAUAACUCCCCGAAAGGGGUGCUAAUACCGGAUAAUGUCUUCGGACCAAAGAUUUAUCGCCUUUGGAUGGGCCCGCGUUGGAUUAGCUAGUUGGUAGGGUAAAAGCCUACCAAGGCGACGAUCCAUAGCUGGUCUGAGAGGAUGAUCAGCCACACUGGGACUGAGACACGGCCCAGACUCCUACGGGAGGCAGCAGUGGGGAAUAUUGGACAAUGGGCGAAAGCCUGAUCCAGCAAUGCCGCGUGAGUGAUGAAGGCCUUAGGGUUGUAAAGCUUUUUUACCCGGGAUGAUAAUGACAGUACCGGGAGAAUAAGCUCCGGCUAACUCCGUG